GGAAAGAUCUCGUUCUCGUGCUAUCUCCACGUGUUAAAUGUCACAUGAGAUAUAGCCACAAUUGAAAACUGUCGAAUUAUAUGGUCUUUUUUUAUUCGGCGGAUUUGUGGCGGAAACUUUCAUUCUUCUAUGUGAUAUCUACGGUUUAAAUGAUGACGCGGAAAGAUCUCGUUCUUGUACUAUCUCCACGUGUUGAAUGUCACAUGAGAUAUAGCCACAAUUGAAAACUGUCGAAUUAUAUGGUCUUUUUUUAUUCGGCGGAAUCGUGGCGGAAACUUUUAUUCUUCUAUGUGAUAUCUACGGUUUAAAUGAUGACGCGGAAAGAUCUCGUUCUCGUGCGCUAUCUCCACGUGUUGAAUGUCACACGCCGGAGAAU